CGCCGCGCUCCCGAGAGCCGCCGCAUCCGCCGCGGCACCGAGUUUUCAGCCGGGCAGAGCCAGACGUCAGCAGGAGGAGGGCGGAGAGCUUAUGGUCCAUCUGGUGAACAAACACUGCAGGCUUAUCUGAACUCCAACUCACAGCCUGACUCAUCGGCGGCUCCGAAGCACAUUCUGUAAUCACUGGAAGACUAAGUUAUUUCAGAGUGAAGAUUAGCAUUUUUCUUAAAAACAGUCAAGUCCUUAUCACACCAAAAUUUAGAUUUUGGAUAUGUGUUAUGAGAUGAAGGCUAAAAAGGUGAAUUAACUGAUUUGUCCAAGAAUGGGUAUCUCUAAAAUACUCAGUCUUAAAAUCUGUGAAGAAUACAGAACAAAUAGCAAAUUUGUGUAUAUUCCUAUGAUAUAAAAAAAUCACAGCACCUAAGGAAUGUGCCUUAGGAAUAGAAAAGGUUGGAAAUAGGCCAUGAGAGUGUUUAAUGAGUAAUCUGCAGCAGCAAAGUCAUCUGAAGACUGGGUUUCUUUCCUGAAGUGACAGUCUUAAUUUUUUUUUUCCUUCCAUCACUACCAGAACAACACAAGACUCCUAAUCCCUUCAGUGCAUAUGGAGGACAUAGACCUUUUCCCUGGGAGUCUGUUGGUUUUACUAGUCUAAGCAUCAAAUCUGAAAGAACAAAACAGGGUAAGGAAUUACUCCUUGAGAAUUUCACCAUCUCAGACUACAGGUCACUGCCUGCUCUGCAACAAGUUCCCAAAACAUUGCUUUUUGUUUUUAAACACUGGUAUAUUGCUAGACUUAAAAGGUAGAGGAAGUGUAUUUUGAUUUUUUAGGAACCACAGAACCACCAUUAACUUCAUGUUCUGCAAUUCAGUCACUCUAUGGUUUACAUGUGUGUUCUUCACCACUCAGGUAUCCUGUACCAUGGAUGUGCACUCUUUCAUAUUUUCUUUUCAUAAACAAAACUAAGAUUCUUUGCCAGGUACUCCUUUUAUAUCAGGCUACCCUCCAAGUGGGUUAUAAAAUUCAGGUUCUCUCUUAUGUGUGCAUGGGCAGAACUAAAGUCAAAUGAGAUGAGAUCACUGCAUGCAAGAAAUGCCUUCUAUUCUGAAACCUUGAGAUUCCAACAAACAUUUCUUAAUCCACUCCGGUUUCAUUUUGCCACAUCACAAAUGCAAACUCUGGUGUCAAUGAAUAUGCAAAAGCCAAAUUUUUGACACCAACAUUUCAUUCUGGUAACACUGUCUAUAAAUUAUCAACUGAACAUACUGUGUCAGGAUUCAAAGACAAUAAAAGCAGGUUCUAUGUUCACUUUGUAUGAAAUACCUGAUAUGGAUGUGGGAUGUAUAUUACACCUUCCUUCUGAGAGAGAAAUUUAGUUCAGGACCUUGGCAUAUGCUCCACUUCACGAAGUGAAGGAAAAUGGAAGAAUUAUUCCCUUCACCAUCACAUUAAAGCAUCCCUUUUUCUUUACAAUCUCUUGCAUAUAAAACCUUUUACUAUCAAUGAGGGGAAAUGGCUGUAGAUGUACUUUAUAUACAGCCCUCCAUGUUGUGACAGCUUUUUCUUUCAGCCAGUGGUCGAGGAUAAUCACGGAAGGAUUACCCAUCUGUUCUUGCCAUGUGGCAUUCUGUCUCAGUGAGGAGAUAGUGCAGUUCACAGCUUCCUGCAGUUCUUUUUUUUUUUUUUUUCUGAUGUUCUCUCAUUAACUAAAAAUUGUUUUAUUAUCCGAGUUGCUAAGUUGGAAAGUCUGGAAGACUCAUGAAGGUGACCUACUUUGGAUUAUCUAAAUUAGAACUAACCACUGCCUGUUGCAAAUAUCAUUUUGUUUAGAUGCAGAAGGUUUGUUUGGCUUGGGCUUCCAUCCUAGGUUUUGCUUUUUUUUCUGUCCACUUGAUGGAAAAAGACAAGUGGUACACAAAGGAAGGUAACCAGAGAAGAAGAGAUGGAAUAAAGAGACUUUUUCACUAAGAGUGACUUUGUAGGUUGUGUUUACAUGAAUAGCCAGUUUUUCAGAACACCCAACAGUUUUUAGACUACAUUUACUAUGAUGACAUACCUGUGCAAAAUAUAUGUAAUGAUUUAUCCCAGUAAUCACCUGGAACAUGUUCUGUGUGUCUAAACUUCUACCAAGAUAUCACUAUUACUUGCUGAUGGAAGAAUAACUAGAAAGG